UUUUUUUUUUUUUGUUAUUAUUAUUAUUAUUAUUAUUAAAGGAUUAGGGCUACAUGUACCGAGAUUAGGGUUUCUGAUUGCCCUAGUCUUGAAAUCGCCUGCAAGGCUGUAGCAACAGGAACUAAAACGGGGGAAGAAAACUGGUCGGAUCGCUCUUCUUCUCUUUCCUAAGCAAUCCGCUUACCAAACUUCCCACAGUUUUCUUUUUUUUUUUUCAAUUAAGUGAUUUUAGCCCCUUUUAUAUGUUGGGUGUUAUAGCGAGGAGGAUAGAAGAAGGGGAUGGUGCAUGUGUUAGCCAUUUUUAGAGGACCUCCUCGCACAUCAAGAGCUACCUCUUCGAUUUUUAAUGUUUUUAGUAUUUUUUUUCACUCCCUCUAUCUCUCUUUUCUCUCUUUUUUUCUUUUUUUAAUGUAGCUCGGUCAUCUUCCGGGCAAGCUGUGUGCCGAUUAUCGCAGUUUGCGUCAUUUGAUGCCUACAUUCAACUAUUUAUUUAUUUAUUUUGAAAAAAGCUGAAAUUAGUUUUAGUUUUUUCUGACUAUUUUUUGGGGGUUUCAUUUUAAUUCGUUGAUCCUCUUGGUUAAAUUGUGUUCUAUAAUUAGUUUAAGUUUUUCGGACGAAAAAAGAAAACAAUAGUAGUUAAUGAAAAUGAUUGGAAAAAUUAUCAGUAGCAUUUUAUUUGAAGUGUAAGUUAAGGAAAUGAAUAGAAGACGAGAAACGAGAAAUCACAGAGCGAUUUAGUUUAAACAAUGGUAAUCCACUGCUUAUAAUUAUAAUAAUAAUAAUAAUAUAAUAAACAUUAAAAGCUAUCGCAUGGUUAUUGGAUGCAUGAACCUGUAAUCUAACACCUCACCCACAAGCGUCUCUGGCUUAUGAUGAUAAAAUAUCUCCCACUCUUUUGUUUAAAUCUGUAGACACAACGCAUGUAGUACAAUCGUUGUAGAAAACGAAGGCUCCCGAGGAAUUAUACCACCAGCCCCAGCUUAACUCACAUUUUUUUUUUGGUUAUAAGAGUCCUGGAUGUUGUUCAACAGCGGGGCUAGAAAAGGUGUGAACUUGGUAGCCACUGUUGCUAACCGACACGGGAACAAUUCCUUAUGAAUUGACUCUGCACACAACCCACAAGAAUUGUCUCUCUCCAAUCAUAGUCCAGUAGGAGAUCGAUCCAUUUCCAGGCCCUGCUUUCGAGUGUUCCAACUUACUUUAGCAAAUCAUGUUCGCCCAGUUUCUCCCAACUUCAAAUUUUUGAAUCUGAAGAAGUAGAAGAGGUGCAAAGAUGAUAGGAUAGGUCCUGCAGCACUUUUAUUGCUUCUAGCAGCAAUAACACCAGCUGCAGCUGCUGCGGCUGCAGGCAUAGCCGCCGGAUGCCCGACGGCCUGCGGUGGCAUCAGCAUCCCCUACCCUUUCGGCAUCGGUUUAACAUGCUCCCGCCAAGGCUUCAACCGCACCUGCGACCAAAACCAUCAGCCUCCGAAGCUCUUCUUAGGCGAUGGCACAAUUCAAAUUCAUUGCUCCGCGCGACAGCCUGCAUCAAUACCAAGAUACUGAGCACCCCUUCUCUUGACUUCAGCUACUCCUGGACCGGCCUGCCGGCCGACGGCCCCUACACUCUCUCCGUCUCCGAGAAUCAGUUCACGGCCAUCGGCUGUGGAGUCCUCGCCAACUUCGUGUUCCCGGAUUCAGAGGAGCUCGUCAGCAUCUGCGCCUCCGUCUGCGUGACGAGGAAGCUCGUGCUCCGUCGGAUGGCUCGUGCUCCGCCGUCGGCUGCUGCCGGAUGACCGUGCCGAUUGGGCUCAGAUCGUCCGAUAUCCGGCUCAGGUCGCUAAACCAGACGCCUAGCUGGGCCGUCAGGUUCACGAACAAGGCCUUCGUGGUGGAGCAGGAAUGGUUCAGGAGAAACUCCCGCAUGCUGGAGCAGAAGUUCAGCUCAGGAGUCGACGAUCCUUCCGCGAUGGAUUCGCUGGCGAUCCCAGCCGUGCUAGAUUGGACGCUCGGCAAUUCGUCGUGCGGAGAAGCAAAGAAUCGGGCGGACUUUGGCUGCUGAAGCGCAAAUAGCGCGGGCAUCGACUCCACAGAGUAUUCUGGUUAUCGGUGCAACUGGUCUGAUGGAUUCCACGGAAAUCCUUAUGUUCUUAAUGGAUGCCAAGGUUUGCAGAUUGAAGAUAUUACUGCUGCUGCACGUAUUUUGCAUAGAGUUUAGGCUUGUGCUAACUUGGCGUCUGUUCUUCUGAUGAGUGGUCAGAUGUUGACGACUGCGAGCAACCAGAAACAUAUCCAUGUUAUGGAAUCUGCCAAAAUGAGAUAGGAUCGUACCAGUGCAGCUGUCCACCAGGAACAAACGGUGAUCCGACCAUUGAAAAAGGAUGCUUCUCCGGCCAAGAACUCUACACAGCUUCAGGUAACAUAGCCUCAAAAAUGUGAAUGCAAAGAACAAAUCAGAGCUCUGUAAACGCCAACUUUUACCUGCGCACAUACUAAUUAGCGCAACAUUUAAUCUAUGCCCAGGUGUAGUUAUCGCAGGGGCCGGCAUUGGUAUUGGGCUUUGAGCUCUGCUCGUCGGCAUCGCCUUUCUCAUCUACAAGUUGAAGGCAAGGAGAGCGAGAAAGUUGAGAGAGAAAUUUUUCAAGAGAAACCGCGGGUUGUUGCUGCAGCAACUGAUAUCUUCGAAUAAGGAUAUUGCGGAUAGGAUGAGGAUCUUCGGCUUGAAAGAGCUCGAGAAAGCAACCAACGAUUUCAACGAGACCUGUAUCCUCGGCCGUGGAGGCCACGGCACGGUCUACAAGGGCAUCCUGUCGGACCAACGAGUCGUCGCCAUUAAGAGGUCCAAAAUCAUAGUCCAACGAGAGAUCGAUCAAUUCAUAAACGAAGUUGCCAUCCUGCCGCAAAUUAACCAUAGGAACGUGGUCCAGCUCUUCGGGUGCUGCCUCGAGACCGAAGUUCCUCUCUUGGUUUACGAGUUCAUCUCUAACGGAACCCUUUCCAACCAUCUUCACGUUCAAGGCGCCCGUUCUUUGUCUUGGGAUUAUCGGCUAAGGAUUGCGGCAGAAACCGCGAGGGCUCUAGCCUAUCUGCACUCAGCUGCUUCCAUAUCAGUGUUCCACAGAGAUGUCAAGUCAGCCAACAUACUUCUUGAUGAUAAUUUUACGGCGAAGGUGUCUGAUUUCGGGGCCUCGAGAUCCGUUCCGUUAGACCUAGAUCUGGCGGGCAUCACCACAGCUAUCCAUGGAACCUACGGUUAUUUGGACCCUGAGUACUACCAUACGAGCCGGCUAACUGAGAAGAGCUAUGUUUAUAGCUUUGGUGUUAUUCUUGCGGAGUUGCUAACAAGAGAGAGAGACCAAUUUCAAACUCGAAAUUGCCGACAGGUCAAAGUCUUGCCGCGCACUUUGUAUGGUUAAUGAGAAACGACAGCCUCUUUGAGAUUCUGGAUCAGCAAGUCGUGGAGGAGGGGCAGAGAGUAGAAAUAGAAGCAGUUGCAGCCCUCGCAGAGAUGUGCUUAAGGUUGAAAGGUGAAGAAAGGCCUACAAUGAAAGAAGUUGAAGUGAAACUCGAAGCCCUCGGAGGCUCCAAGAAGGGGGCUAGGCACCCCUGGGCUGCACAGAGGUUGGAACAGAGUCAGAGAUUGCUAAGCCAUGUAUCAACUGAAGAUAGGGUGGCUGAUAUGACCAGGCAGUAUAGCUUGGAGAAUGAACUCGCGUUGUCAUCGUUACCGCGAUAAAUUUAGCUGUUCCGCUACACCAGUUUUUGCUCUAUCACAAGUUGCAUGCUGCUCUGUUAGAUGCCCAGUGAUUUAUAUGGAUGCUAUCCUUUUUUUGGUGACAUCUCCUAUAUUGUUGUGCUACCAAGAAACAGGUUAUAUUGUUUAGUAAAUUCAUACGACAGGUUAUAUUGUUUAGUAAAUUCAACCAUUCAAGACAUCAGAAUGGUGACAUCGAGUGCACCAGAGAAGAAACUUUAAUUACCCUAGUAUUCCACAGCACAUCAACCUUCGCUAUAAGAAUAUCACAAGGCUGGGUCAUAUAUAUAUAUAUAUAUAUAUAUAUAUAUAUAUAUAUAUAUAUAUAUAUAUAUAUAUAUAUAUAGAGUGAGGCUACUAUGCUAUCGGAAGCACGGAGCCUUCCGUGCUUCCAGCUCGUUUUCGAUGUUGCGACUUUCGAAUCGUCGAUCGGCUCCGUUAAACUUGAUCUAGAGUAUUUGAAGUACCUAGAAAAUAAAUUUUAUGAUUUUACGAUAUCAUUUGCCUAGUGAACGAAGGGGCUCAAAAUCAACGGCUGAAAAUAAAAAUCUUACAAAAUGUAAUAAUAUGACAUUAAAAUUUUAAAUCAAAGAUAUUGAUCUUGUUUUAUAUAGUAUAAAGAAUUUUCUAUCAAAAUUUCACGUGAUUUGGAUAUUUCUACACCGUUAAACUUGCAAACGGCUCACUACGGCCAUUGAAAUUUGUUGAUUUUGAGCCCAUUCGAUCACUAGGCAAAUGAUAUCGAAAAAUAAUAAAAUUUAUUUUCUAGGUACUCCAAAUACUCUAAAUCAAGUUUAACGGAGCCGAUCGACGAUUCGAAAGUCGCAACAUCGAAAACGAGCUGAAAGCACGGAAGGCUCCGUACUUCCGAUAGCAUAGUAGCCUCACUCUAUAUAUAUAUAUGUGUGUGUGUAUUUGUGUGUGCAUGUGCAUUUAUAUUUCAUUAGAUAUAAGAAAAUAAGUAGGUGAAAAUUCACUAAAUUCCUUAAUCAGUAUUAGCAAAAUUACACCAGCAACUGUGGUUAAAUUCAUCUAUUAGAAUUAAUUGAAUUCAGCCUAUCAUUAGGUCGGUGAAUUGCACCAAAAGCUUCUCCGUGUUUCCAUUUCAAACCGAUCAAAUUUAACUAAGAUUUCCACACUAACUACACAAUACCAAUGCUGGAGAUCAUCCCGUCCUGUACCCAUCUGCUUCCUUUUCGAUCUUGUGAAAAGCAUCUACGAAAUAGCCAUCCCUUUCAACUAUUCCAUUCAGAUGUACUGCACGUAAAUUACACCAUCUCUGAUGAGCAAAUCAGAAUAAAUUACACGAGGACUAGGCCAGGGAUCUAGAACUUGAAAAGAGCUACAUAGUAUACAAUGAUGGCGUCGUGACAAGAGACCCACUACAUUAGCUUCUCCCGGGACAGUUCACACGAGGUACCUGUUGACAAACAAAAGAAAGGCUAUUAAUUAGGGCACGAAACAAAAGCUCCUUGGAAGAGAUAUAUAUAUAUAUAUAUAUAUAUAUAUAUAUAUAUAUAUAUAAAAAGAAAAACUAAGGAUGAAUGUCAAUUGCUCUGACUACAUAAAAAGAAUAAAAAGCAUAGUAAAAGUUGGUCCGACAAUCCAAAAUCUGUCCUAGGUUGAAUGUCAAUUGCUCUCACUCCAAUAAAAAGAUUAAAAAGCAUGCUAAAGGCCAUUCUACAAUCCAAAAUCCAGACUCUAGCAGUAGUUAGUCACAAGGUAUUGAUGAUGGUGUGUUGGAUAACUCCUCCCCCGCCUCUCAGUAACAAGUGCUUCUGCUAUGCACCUUUGGAUUUUCUCAACACACAUACACAGAGUAACGCAUACACAAACACGUAUAUAUACACACACAUUGUGUGUGUGUGCGCGCGCGCGUGCACGCGUAGGGGGGCAAAAGAACAUGCAGUAAGAAAACUUCCUGGAGUCCAUGAACUAAAGUGCACAUAAAAAAUUAGCAAAUAAUAUAUAAGAAAAAGUUUACCUUUUUGUUUCCCAUCCAAAUAAAUAUAGCAGGAGACGAAUGCGUAUAUUACAGAUCUCCAGAGAAAAAUAUGUAGUACUACCACAUUAACUGCUAAUCAACUGCAAGAUGCCUGCAGAUUCAUCAUAUUUCCAUCUGCAGAACCAGUUUUUUAGAAUGUAACAAAGAUUAUGUAGAUAUAUAUAUAUAUAAAUAUAUAUAAAAAGCACAGAAGCAAGGAAACAAAAUUAUCAUGCAACUUUGUUAAAAUCUUCCUGACACCCUUACAAUCAUCUACCACUAUGCACAUGCACUCUCAUUAGGAAAACCUACCAGUAUUUAAAUAACAGCUUUCAAGGUAACAACACCCAUCUUUCUUAUUCUCAUACUGCUAGAAACCUAAGGUGAUAUGCAACAACAAUAUGGGCUUCAUAUGCCUAAUCUUCCCAAAGUUGAAAAGCCUUAUUGUAGUUCAUGAAUUCAUUCAUCUUCUACCGUCCAAUAAAACUACGAUGCAUAAAGUUACAACCAUCCACUAAAUACUCCUGAAUAACAUUACGAAUUGACUUGCUAUAUUUUAGUGCACCUUAAAAGUCCUCAUGUUCGAGUUGCUUUUGAACUGGAAAAUAACCAAAUUACCCAGCAUAUUUACAGCUACUAUAGAAUAUUGCUAUCACAACUAUUUGUUGAAAUAGGCCAUAGCAUCCAAUGGAAUCCAACAAUAUCUUUCCAAAAUUUCACAAGAUAAUUAUGCCUGAGGAAUUCUUUAAGUUAGAAAAGCAUACUUGCACAUGAAAAUCGAAUGCAAAUUGCUCUUCAAAUCAGAUAAUUCACUUCUUUUUUCCCUCUCUUCCCUAAACUUGUCAAUAGAGAAAACUUCACAUAGGCCGCGGAUUGAGUCAGCCGUUAUCUUUCUUUGAAUAUUUGAAGCAUAUACCUGUAACAAUUUGCAAUAAGGAGAUCAAAACAUUCAAUGUUUCAACAGUAAAGCAUAAUAAAAAAUUAACCACUAUACAAAAGUUAAAAAAUGAAAAAGCUCCUACAAGAAUGAGAAAAUUUUCACACCAUUAAGCAUGUUAAAAAUAGCACUGAAGCCUAACCACAGAGUAUAGGCAAAUUGUGACGAAAUGCUAACCGAAGAAUUAGCCACUUUCUCCUUUUUUGACUUUGCACAGUACAAUAUAAAAAUAAGGACAGCAUACACAAAUAUGGAGGAAGGUAAAGACGGAUUAAAUAACUUCAUAGGUCUUAAUUCUAUGAUAAAUGUACAGAACAUGACAUUGCGUCUGAAUUAAUUGCAAAAAUAUUUACAGCUAAAACAAUAGUCUAAGGCCUUGCCUAAAUAUUAAUUGCUGCCCAGAAUUAGAUAAAAAAAAUUUGGUCCACUAGGAUCUUUACCCCAAAUCGAUCCAGAAAAAGAGAAAGAAAUAAAGAACUUCAGGCUAAAUAUAAAAUAAAACAUUUAGCAUCUCCAAUCGCAGAUCAUAGGGGCUUUUGAAAUUCAAUAUGCAAUGAGUGUGGCCGACACAAAAAUGCCUGAUUACAUUUUGCUGGUUUAAUGUCAAUUAUCAGGAACUUGUUUCAGAAAACGCAGAUGCCAUAUACCAAUGUAUACUUUGAGCUUAGGAUCUAGUAAUCAAUAACAAUCUCUACAACCAUUGUAAACCACUCUAUCAUAACUUACCUCACUGUCCUCAGCAGCAGAAGGUUGUAUAACAGUGUCUGGAAGGUCAUGGGGUAAGUAAUAAGGAUUCACAACAGCCCACUUUGAUCCAGAACCCUUGUCUUCCCACAUAGACUACAGUAAAUGGGGAGACUUAGUGUCAGUAUGUAAAAACUACAUAUGGUAUGUGGAUAAAUAUAAAAGUAGCUUAUAACUAUCAAGUGUCAGUAUAGUAUUAAGAAUCACUUCUUUGUGCAUCUUUCAGAUGAAGGGAGCAUCCCAAAAUUAAAAUAUUGACCACAGAUGGUAAACUGAACGAAAAUUGAGGGCAGGCAAAUGGACAGGUGGCUACAAAAAAGAGCAAUAUUCCCCUUGCUAUGCAAAGUGAAAGGUACUUUAUGAAAUGACAGGCAUAAUCUUAAGUAGUUACAUGACAAAGACGAAAAGGGAUGGUAAAGACUUGCCAGGAGCUUUGAAGGGAUCGAACUGUUCCCAUCAGCAGGAAUUAAAACAUGGUCCUGAAGCUUGUACAGUGAACCAUUAACCUGACAGGCUCUGUAAUAUAAAUUUCCACCCACAACUUGAAGGACAUCGCCUACCCAAUCCACUGUAUGCAAAUCGGCAAGCAAAGAUCUACAACCAUCUCUAACUUCAUCCUUAGAUUCCAAAACUCCAUUUGGAGUUGUCUGAUGAUUGUCUCCAUAAUCUAACCCAUCAUGGCUACCAGCACUAUGUUCAGAUGCUUCUUUUCCACUCACGCGUUCCUUUAGUUCAUUGAUCCAGGGCUCACUGACUUGUCGAUUUUCAUUAGCAGAAGCUUUGAUACCGCUUUCCACCUCUGUGUUAUUGGUAAUACGAGACGUAGAGGGUGCUUGAGACUCAUUUGCCUUUUUAUUAUCAGAACCAUUGAGUUGCCCAGACUUCGUGAUUUCCGUUGUAACUACAGACAUUGACUCAGUAGGGUUAUUCUGAAUGCUCUCAUGAGAACUUUCACAUCUUGUGCUUAUAUUAGUACAUACAAUCCAAUCAUUCGAGUUACUAGAUAAGAUUUCAGCAGACGAAUUGCCUUCCCUUUUCAUUACAACACCGGACAAAUUCGCAUGUGCUUCUGCACUUACUGUCCAAGUAUUUGGACUCGAUUCAACAGUAUCACCUCUAGUGUUAGUAGCACAUGCGGCAUUUGGCAUGGUAGAAUUUCCAUUUGCUAUUAUUUUUUGUUGAUUACUUUUCGGGUCUGAAGAUUCGGUUUUUCUCUCUCCAGAAACAUGGUUAUGCCCCACUGCAUUGGAUGCGGCCUUGGGUGCACUAGUACUUCUCGUAACUCUACCAUAUUUAGGUGGCAAAGGCUUGCCAUGACUCAAGGUCAGACACUUUGGGCAGUGCCACUCACCUUUAGGAGGUCCUUUAUAAUUAUUAAGACACGUCAAGUGGGUCCCUUUGUCACAAUUAUCGCAAACGAGCAAGCUUUCCACAUCAGUAAUAAGAAUUUUGCAUACUUGGCAAUUCAGAGGCUCUUUCAUGUAUUCAGUUGACAGCGGUGUCCAGUCAGGUGGAUUUGAAGCCUUCCGCUGCAAUAUUUGCUGCACGUAUUUGGAUAUGUCAUUAAAAACGGGGGCAACAGAUGCUGGAUGAGUAUAUGUUUGGCCUUUUACAGUUUGAUGUCCCAUAAUAAGGUUUCCUGCCCCAGCUUGAAUUGUCAAUGUCUUCAAUUGACGAUCCCUCAUUGCAUGACUUGAAGCUGGCAAUAAAUUUGAUUCAUUAUCAACCGAUUUACUUGUCUGUGCUGGGAUAGCUAAUGCUAAUUGGACAGGAGUUGUUGAGGCUUUUUGCGGUGCAUAGUCAACAGAAGUAGCUGACAGAAGAUACAAUAAGGUAAAUUAGAAUAUCAACAAGGAAUAAACAAACCAUUUCAGCAAUAAUAAAUAAGAUGGACCAAAACAUAAUAUUAAAGAAUGAGAAUAAAAUACAAGGUUGCAAAUUGCACACAACCUCAAGUCAAAUGUUGAAAGGUAAAUGGAGGAGGGGGGAAAAAAUGCCAAAUAGACUACCAAGAUACAUACAUAGACAGAAUUAAGCUAAUAGCACAAAAAUUCUAAGAAUUGCAUAAUUUGGUAACAUGUGAAAGGACAAAGGCAAAGGAGAGAUUGGAAGAUUACCUCUAGCCUGGGUUAAAUAAGUCGGUCCGCCAAAUCGUGCAUCAAACCUGAGAUGUGCUGCUUCUGGAUGAGGUGAUGCUAACGAAGGGCCCAAUACUGCUUUUUCAGGAGUUACUGCUUGAUGAAUUUCAUUUAUUUGCGGUUGCUUCAAAGAGGCAGAAGCAGAAGCUAGUGCAGGUGAAUAUGCGACAGUAGGACUCUGAAAGCCUCCUGCAGAGAGUGCCAAUGGACUUGUCUUGUCUAAAGAAAACCUAGAUGCUCCAUGCAACAUAGUUCCUUGGGAUGAAUAAACAGAUGAAUUCAUGGCAACUUCCUUUGCUUCCUCCAUCUGCAAAAUUGCAACCAAAUUUGCAAGACAAGCCAUCAGAUAUGUAACAGCAAAUAACAAUUUUGUGCAGAUUUGAUAAUACAAAGGACUAGCAUCAUUAUAACAGCUUCCAGCUAGAAGAGUAAACAAAAAGUAGAUAAAAAGUUGCACGUGACUUGCACCCACACUUUCACCAACGGCAGUGCAAUAAACAAAAGUAGGCACAAAGAAAAGAUAAUUAAUAUCAAACAUUUUAGCUCGCUGACCAACUAUUCCCUUGGUUACAAGGACAUAAUGAUUUGUCUUAAGCCAUACUUUCUUACCUCCGCAAUGGAAUCAUUCAACAAAGUCAUGUCCAAGUCUCAACAUUGAGUCACCCAUAUCAACCGAGAAUGAAAAAUUAUCUUCUUCCCUUUUAUCUUUUAGAAUUUGUUGAUUCAUAGACAUGAAGAUAUGAGUGAGAGAAGGUAAUUUAACAACUCCAGCAGAAUUGAAAUACAUUGCUUUAAAAUUCAUCGAAAAGAUUAGAUCAACAAAGCCACAGCAUAAGCAGCAGUUAUAGCUUGUAAAAAGUGCAAGAGUUCUUCGCCACAUUCAACGGUAAAAUGCAUUCUUGAAAGGUGAUAGAGUUCUCUUGAUGAUGUCAUGUGCUACCCUUUUACAUAAUUACAAAUUUGUAAAGAAAAGUUACUCUAGUGAUAGAACAUGAAGGAGAGUGUCAUAAUGAUUCACAAAGAAAAUUUCAUGCAAGAGCCCAAUUGGAUGUUCGAACAAAUUACCCAGUGAUAACUUGUGCUCUACAAGGAUUGCUUUCUAAUUGCAAUUUAGGGGUUUGUUUCUAGCCCCUUUGCAAAUAGUUGGCAAUUAUGAUUUGUCAGGACAACACAUUCCACCUAUGAAGUGAUUUAUCUUGUUUCGAGAAAAUGACUUGGGAGAUCAAAUAUAGUACCAUGGUUGUAGACAUCUGAUCAAUUAGUGUAUUCUCAUCAACUAAACAAACGAGUAAGAACAAAACAAGAUUUUCAUCCAUCCCGACAGGCUUAAUGGAGACUUUAGAGUUCACCAAUAACCUACUCUGAUUUUGGACUAGUUUGAUCUCAGAAGUUAACAUUUUCAUCCCAAUAAUGCAGCAUACACUCGUAAAAUCCAAACCAAGCAGCAAUUCAAACACAUAACAAAUUCGGAUUUUCAUAUCCACCGGAGUAAACCUCUUGUAAACAAAUUAACAGCAGAGGGAGGGAGCAGACCUUUCUCUUGGUGAGCGAGACCUUCUCAGCAAUGGUCAUCUUGGGGGGCCGGAACCCCAUCACUGGAUCUUUCGAGCGGCUUAGCCCAAGAUCCUCCGCCAAAACCCUAACCGCCUCCCUGGAGAACAAAUCCUUCGGCCUAACGCCCUCGCACACCCGCGCCAGCCUCUCCCUCGCCUCCGCCAUCAUCGCCGUCUCCGCCGCCGUCGGAUCCCGCCCGCCCCUCAUCUCCGCCAUCGCCGACAGAACCAUCACGACCUCCGCCACGCGCUUCAGCUCCCCGUCCCUCCCCCUCUUCCUCGACGCGGCGGAGGAGGAGGCCGCGCCCUCGUCUCCCAUCUCCGUCGGCGGCGGAGAUCCCCGUCCCUGGGGCGGCGGCGGCGGAGGAGGAGGAGGCGCGAUGGUGCGGCGGCGGAGGAAGGGACCUGCGAGAAAGGGAGGAAUCAGGCGCCAUUGGAAAGAGAGGGGAGAGGGGGGUGGGGGGAGGAGCGAAACCCUAGCGAGGGCGAAGGAGGGAGGGGGAUCGGAAAGAGAGGGAGGGGGCAAAGGGGAGUUUAAAUACCUAUUUGGCGGGUAAUUCUCGAAGGCUUAAGACGUAUAGAGAGAGAAAGAGGGUUAAGAAAACUGAAGCGAGGGGGAUAUCGUAGUGAGAUGGCGGUGAGAGUUUGGGGAGCAGGCGAUGAGAGAGAGAGAGAGAGAGAGAGAGAGAGAGAGAGGAGAGAGAGAGAAAGAGGGAAAAUAGGAGCGAUUGGGAAAGAGGGGUUUCCUUUGUUUUACCCCUUUUCUUUUUCUUUUUCUUUUUUUUCUAUUUUCGCUUCUCGGGUCGGGAUUGAACCGGACCGGAUGGUCUUCGAAAGCGGCGUGGGUUUGGAUCGGUGACCGACUACGAGGCCGAGUAGGAAAUGGACGGAGUGGUCUAUGGGAAUAUGCCACGUGUCCUGUUGCGGGAUUUGGCAUUUCGGGGCUCUUCGGGUUUUGAAACGGCUGGGUCGAGUCAAGUCCGUCGCUUCGCUAAAGAUGACUCGAACUCGGGCUUGACCCGUUUCUCAGGUUCGUGUGUUUGCUAGGGUAUGCAGAUGAAAUAAAUUAACGUAAAAAAAAGAAAAGAAAAUCUGCAGUGUAUAUAAAUAGCACAUAUAAUUCUUCGAUUUUGCAUAUAUAAGAAAUGUUACAGAUAUGAAUUUGGCAAAUAUAUGCUAGAGAGACAUAGGUGUGAAAAGGGCAAAAAAAAAAAGAAAUGUGUACGGCCCCUGUUUGGAAACUCUUGACAGUUUUAUGGAGUACUUUUUUACUUUAGUAUUAAUAUUUCACCGCAUAUAUAUAUAUUAUUUGGAUGGGCAUUAUAUUACUGUAUUUUAAAUUCUUUUUUUUUUUUAAUUAUACUGUUUGACAUUGCUCCAAAACAGGCGCUAAACAGUUAGAUUGGGUCCUGUAAAGGUUGUGCCCAUUUAGGGCCGCUUAGUAUCGAGGCAUUGCAGCUUCAUGUACCUGCAGAAUGUUGAAAAAUUUAUGGUAAAAUACCUCCAUGCACCACGAAUGAGAAAUAGCGACCAUCCAAGAGCAAUCGGUGCGACGUGAGACGACUCCCGAAAACAAAAUCCCAUCUCCAUAAGACUAGUAACUCUCUGCACCUCCAAACGAAGCUUAUUGAUUCCUCAGAAUCUGCUGUCGAUAGAAAACUUAAAUGAGCUUCUAAAUCCUAAACCUCAAAGCUUCAAUAAAGAUGAGGCUGUAGGAAGAACUCUACCGAAAUACAAAAUAGAGUUGGUAACAGAACGUAAGUAAGAAAAAUAGUGGAGGUAGACAAGGAAUCAACUGGGGACUAGGCAACAAAAACAUGAAUAGGUGGCGACAUUGAUGAUUGCAUGAUAGACGAGAAAGAAGCGGCGGCAAAAACAAUGACCCACAACCUCCCGAGGAUCAUUGGAAUUUGGAACCACUGUACAUAAGGCAAUGAGAGAGGCGCUGGUAGAAGACAGCAGGACGAAAUCAAUCACAAGCACUUCAACUUCACAGCACGCUCAGGUGGGGAGCCUCUGCUGAUGACAGUGAUAUAUAGGAUCAUCACCUCCAAGUAUUUGCACAAUAAUUUAAGAUAACGGAUAUUCUGUUAUUUGAACCCAUCAAAAUAUUGAUUGAACAAUACUUUCCACCAGAUGAAUACUGUAACCUCCAGGCACUCUUAAAGUGCAAAUAACAAAAUAGGAAGCAGCACUACAUUUAGAUUUAAACCGUGUUAUUUCGAUCAUACACGGAAUAAUCCUUGAACUGUAGGGCAUGUACACUGAUUCUAGUUGCCAAGCCCUAUGGUUCUGUCUCUAUUCAAUUCUCGGAUCAAGGGUUUACCUCCUAACAAUUAUUGGGUUUGAGAUAGAUCACGUUUGCUCCUGAAAUUGCAAACAUAAAAGGGUAGGCUACCACCAACUGCUCUAAUGAGAUGGAUCAUAUGCAUCGAAAGAAGAGAUACGAGGGACAAACACAAGUUUGAAUACAGAUUCCACCAAAAGAAUUGAUAAAAACAAUACUAUUCUGUCGAAGACAACUAGAAAUGAAGAAUGUUUAUUUACAUUUCAAUUAUAAACUGAUCUGAAGCCUUCUGUAAGAGCAACAACCUUAGAAGAGAGCUUUGGCUGCAGCUUUGACACAGCCAAACGAAUAUCCUACAAAAAUAAAACUGAUUUCAGUAAGCUGACAACGCAUUGCAUGAGCUGAGACAUUGAUACAUUACCUCCGUAUAAUAUCGAGAUGAGAAGUGUGUGAGUAAGAUGGCCUUGUUACGGAACCACUGAGCAUGCUCCAUAAUCUGCAAAAUAUGCAUAAUUUUACCACUACUCAGGCCAUUGUUUUGUACAUUUUGAUCCGUAAAUCACUACCAAAGACGUAAAACUUUUAAAAUCCCUUCAUAAUAAAGCAUGUAUACUAGGGCCAUGCGCUAGUGUCAUCAUCAAAAUUCUGGUUAUAAAAUCUUAAUACAAGUUAAGGCAAUAAGUUACCUCAAACAAAUGCAUAUGACCAUGUUCCCGGGCAUGGUUGAUGUCAUUUUCUUCAUCAAGGAAAGUAGCCUGCCACAAAAAGGAAUGCAAUACAUCAAUUCUUUCCUCAAGUUAUUAAAUUUCAAUAGACACUAGGUUAUUAGCUUGUUAAUAGACUUGUACUAUAAUAAUAACUGUCCGAGAAUAUAGAAGGCAAAUCCAAAAGGACAUUUCAUCAUAACAGUUGGUUUUUCUGCAACAUGUUACCUAUGAAAAGAGAGUUCAUAAUCUACUCGAGGAGCUCAACCUACACAGAAGUAAAACGGCAGGCUGAAUAUAUGAGUUGAACAAUGCAAAACUCUUAUAUAAUACGCAUAUUAAUUUUGGUCUAUUGUUUGCCAAUUACUACAAGAUGCAUGUUAUGAUCGAUGGAAACUGAAGUGGAUAAUAUGCUGAAAUUUGAACAAGUUGAUUUGCCACACAGAUAGGCUAGUGUUUGUUGCUUCUAAAACUGAUUUAACAAACUCCCAUUGCAACCGAAACAAUUACACCUCAAUGGCAUAAUAAAACAUACCUCUGUGAUAAGAAUUUUUGCCCUCAGAGCAUCUGCAUUUCGUGGCUCGAUAAUGAAGUCCGACAUUGUGUCUCCUGUGAAGGCAACCUCUGGAGAUAAUAUGGUGUCCGUAAUCUAACAAAAAGAUUUGCAGUCAUCAAUACGAAAUCAACAGAUAAAGAGAAUUUGGCAUGUAACUGCUAACAAGGCUUUUUCCUCCCAGUGGCAAGUGACUACAAACCUGAACACCGGAAAGCUUCAAUUUCUUGAUUUGCGUGCCUUUUAAGUGAGCGUACUGUUUUUUGAGCUUGUUUCUCACUGAAUAAAUGACAUAUCCCUGAAUCAUAUUUGGCAACACAAGUUGUGUAACAAGACAGGUAGAUAAGCACGAUAUUUUUCAAAAAGAAUGAUCUAAUGAAGGAUACCUGGCUGGGUAUAACAUGUCGAGUUCUGAAUGGCCGAACGACAAGAUCAUUACGAAUCUCAUAAGUCUCUCCUAAAAUUUUGGUAACAAAUUCAGUAAGAAUCAAUCAAAAAGAUAAGGAAAGAUUGAAGCAGUAAAAUAUUUUUUCAUACCCACAUCCAGAGCAACUAGUUCGACUUUUAGUUCAACUUGACUCAUGGUCCGAUGAAUUUGUAGCAACUUCUCCACAUCCUCUUUAAUACAUGGGGGCACAAAUACAGUUGGAGGUUUUAAAUUGUAUAGGCCGCGCGUAGCCAAGUACAUUGGAAGGCCACCCUACAACGAAAUCAUGACUGAGAACUAUUUUCUAGCAGAUAAAAAUGUAAUUUUGAGAGGAAAAAUAAAGAAAAAUAAAACAGAUCAGACAAAUCAUGACAGAUCGACGUUUAAAAAGGAUUAAAAAAAAAAGAAGAAAAGAGAGAGAGAGAGAGAGAGAGAGAGAGAGAGAGAGAGAGAGAGAAUUAAAUGCCAGCAAAACUAGGUAGAUAUUUUGAGAAUUUUUCUCACAACUAACCACUCAAAAUAUUAAAAAGGGUUCACAGAUUUCCUGAUUGGCACACCACACUUUGCCAUUCAUUCACAACUCCAAUUGGAUGUUUGAAUAUCUUCAAAGUAAAUUUCUUGUUCCUUUGCUAUCUCGUAAUCCCUAAUUACCAAGUGAUUUGGACCCAUCACGAUCAAAUGCACCUAAAAUGGGGGGCAAAAAUGGGGGGAACAGGGAUCUUACACCGUGAUCUUGGUCAGCAAAUUAGAAUCUUUUUGUGACAUCCCAAUAGUCCAACAUCGGAUAAUGUGGAAGAGCCUGCUAGGUUUAUAAGUAGCGGACACACUAGACAUAAUAACUGGGCUUAAGCAUUUUGGGCCGGUAAUUAGGCCCAACGAGUUAUUAUUGCUAGUGGGCUGGGUCGUUACAUUUGGUAUCAGAGUCAGUUCACCAGCCGGAAGUGUGAGAUAAGUCUUGACUGAGCUAGGGUUGGAAUGACAAACUAAGUCAGGAUCGGUGAUUGACAAGUUAAGUCAGGGUCGGAAAGACAAAGGCUAGCGAGACAAAUCUCACGUCGCCUGGUGAUCUUGGGUUGUGUGUGAUCGGAUGGUUAUAACUAGAUGUGGGAGUAUAUAAGCUUGAUUGAGCUAGAUAUAAUAACUACGCUUAAGCAUUUUGGGCCGGUGGUUUACGCCCAACGAGUUAUUAUUGCUAGCGGGUCGGGUCGUUACAUUUGGUAUCAGAGCCUGAUAAACAGCCAAAAGUGUGAGAUAGGUCUCAGGACUAUGUAUAUGAUUGGGCCGGGCUGACGAGGGCUGACGAGGACAUCAGGAUCUAAACGAUAGGAGUAUGUGACAUCCCAAUAGUCCAACAUCGGAUAAUGUGGGAAAGCCUGCUGGGUUUAUAAGUAGCAGACACACUAAAUAUAAUAACUGGGCUUAAUCAUUUUGGACCGGUGGUUAGGCCCAACGAGUUAUUGUUGCUAGUGGGCUGGGUUGUUACACAUUUCCUAACCCAACAACUCAAAAUGACGAGUUCAGAGAUUCCUUAGUUCUGACCGCAUACUUUGUGGCUAAUAUCAUACUAUAUUUGUAUUGAAUUGCACCAAAUCCUUCCUUUUCCCAAUUUCCCAAAGCAUCACCAUUAGAAACCGCAUUAAGAAGGGGAAAGAGGGAGGAGAGGGAUCGUACGAUGUGGUCGAGGUGGGCGUGGGUGAUGAAGAGGAAAUCCUGGUGCACGGCCUUGGCGGGGCAGCGGCCGAUGUCGAAGGCGGAGUUGAGGCUGGGGACGACGACGCAGGUCUCGUGGCCGCCGACGGAGACGCCCUCGAUGAGGUAUCCCUCGACGUCAACGCCCUUCCGCCGCACCUCCGCCCUCGCCCUCCGGUACUCCUCCUCCUCCAUGGCCCGGUCGAUCACCGACAAGAACCCCGACUUCUUGAUGGCUAGGGCACGGAACCGAUCGGCGGCGGCGGCGGCGGCGGCGGCUGCAGGGGAAGAGGACGAGGGGACGGUGAGGCGAGGAGCGGCGUGGGGAGGGUCGAAGGGGAAGAAAUGCGAGGGGAGAGACGGGGAGGAGAGGGUCGAAGAGAUCGGCAUUUGAAAUUGCUCUAGAGAGAAGAGAAAGAGGAAGAAGAAGAAGAAGAAGGCAUGGGAAGAGUGGGGGAGGAGAAGGGAAAUGGAUUAUGGUCUAGGGCUUUGGGAGAAGGGGUUGGAAUGAAAAGGGCAGGAGAGCGGCUUUUGGACGAACUAGGCAGAAGAUAACGAGCAGACCGGGUGUAUGAAAUUAUGAAUAUGUAGAAUUUUUUUUUUUUUAUGCAAUAUUAAUUUUUUAUCCGAAAAUAGUAGUUAUUAGUUAUCUAAAAUAACCUAGUAUAACUAUCUCCACCAACCCCUUUAUUUUUUAUAUAUAAUUAUCCAUUAUUUUUUUUAUUCUUUAUUAUCUAUUCAAACGUUAUUUUUUUUAUUCUCGAAAACAAUUCAAUUUUUAUUCAAAUAUAAUAGCUAGUUCUUGUUUAUACCCGAACAAAAUGUUACCUUAAAUUAUUAUUUAAUUUCGUAACAUAAACUGCACUUCUGCUAGAAGUAUGUUUGUAAAAAGUCUGCAAUAAUGUUUGUAAGCAUAUAAUUGGGGGAUUCAAAUUGGAAGCGAUAACGGUUGGUGAUUCUUUGUAGAAGAUUUACCGAGAUAGAACUUGAAGCAAACAGAACCCGUCCGAUUCAAGCAACUCAUAACUUAUUUUGCUUCCAUGAUCGUCUCUCUAGUUGAUCCGUUAUAAACUAUUCUUAAAAGUAACUGACGCAAACGCAGUGAAUAAUCAUCAGUCUCUGAUACUCCACUCAGCUUUCCAAAUAGAAACCCGAAGCUAGCUCAUUCACUAAGAUAAAGGUAAAGCACACAAACAAAUAGCAAUUCAAUUGAACACUUUAAUACUUUUAUCCUACCACUACAAAUAACUAACAUAAUCUCAUUAUGUACAACAUAUAUACAAUUAUAACACAGAAUUACAAACAGAGUCGUACUAAAAGUAUAUACAUCAGAUUUAAAAAACUUCCAAUUAUAUCGAAACUUUUCCCAAUUUGCGGUCCGAUUGUUGAAAUGGGGUGUGCACCGUACCACUUGAGUCGGUGAAGACCAUGUCGGAGCAAACAAUAGUCCUCGAGUUUGACGUGAGAAUGUAUGCAUCUUGAAGCGUGAACCCGUGAACGAUUGGCAAAGGAAAACCUUGUCUGAGAUGGGAAUUCACGUACGGCACAAAUAUGGUUUUCAGGAAAACCCGUAUUACCCCCUGCAGGAAGAGACAAUUGCAUGAAAUAAAGGAUCAUUUUGAUAUCAUCCGUAGUUAAAAAUUCAUGAUGAGAUGGCAAAAAAAAAAAAAAAAAAAAAAAAAAAAAAAAAAACCAGCCAGAAGGACUAAUAGGCAGCCUACUGUCCAUCAAGACUCGGCAUUUGUUUUGGCUUGAAAAUUCAUAUAGACGAUAGAAGCAAAUAAACAUUAAUUUAUAUCUUUAAUUUAGAAAAGAAAACAUUUAAAAGCCUAGAAGAAGGCCCUAACCAUGACCAAGCUAUCAUACCUGGAUCAGCGACAUAUGGAAGUUUCCAACUUUACUCCAUUUCAAGGUAAGGGAGAAAUCAUCCAUUGUGGCUUUACCAGCCAGGUUAUUCCCUAAUAUCUCCACAAACCCUGAGAUAGUAACUUCCUGCGGAAAAAUCACAAGAGAAUUAUCAUUCUAAAAUGCAUGAACUGCAAGUUAACGCAUAAAACUAAGUUUAUUCAUGGUUUUAUGAUGACUGUGAGAGCAAAUUAAAGCAUAGGAAAGAACACAAAAGGUAUUGCCCUUAUAAGCUCACCAUUGAUAUGCAGGCCACAGGAAUUGUCUCUGCGUUAUCCAAUACAUCAAUUGUCAUGUCUAAGUAAAUGGUAGAGCCAAUUUUUUCUUCUCUAAUCUUCACUUCCGGGGGUGAGGUCAAAGAGAUAUCCAGCAACAUAUCAUCAUUUGGGUACUUCCUGUAUAAUUGAGGAAUCAGAAAUUUCCAGCUAGCUGUGUUCAUUAGAGAUUGAUCAGGUACCUUGUCCACAAUCCAAUGCAUCAAACCAGCCUGAAGGAAAAGGUUAAUCAGAGUCAAUCAAUUUGCUCGAAGAAAGAUUUGGGAUCUGAUACUUUCUACUCCAAUUUUUUCCCCUGGAAAUAUACUCAAAAUCAAUAUUAGGACAUUCUAGGACAUUAUUUCUUAAGAUCCAUGUUGUUAUUUAGCAUCUAAAGAACUCAAAAUAUAUAUAAAUUAAUUUUUCAGUUAAUGAAAAUCCUUUCUUUAUGCAUCAAGGGUACAAUAAAUUGACCACACCCCACAUAUAGUCUAGGCGACUUGACUUACAUAUUCAAGAACAUAUGUAAACAGAAAAUACCAUAUAUAGCCUAGGCGAUUUGAGUCAUUUGACUUACAUAUUCAAGAACACAUGCAAAUUGAAAACAGACAAAUACAAAAAACUACCAUCAACUUAACAAACUACUUCAAAUUGAGAUUCUGCAUAGAUCUGUUUUUUUUCUAAUGGGUUAUUCAUAUAUAAUGUUAAGAUGACUCUGCAUAGAUCUAUUCUUUUUUUUGAUGUGUUAUUCAUAUAUUAUGUUAAGACACUGAACUCUCUGUACUACCAGGCGUGGACAAUUGUACAAGUACAUAAGACAAGAAGAACACAAAAUUCAAGGGAAAAUGUAGUAGGAUGAGAUACUACAUUGAAGAUAUAUAAAUCAUAACACGCUCACCAGUUAUAUGCAGAGUCUUGUUUCAACCAAAAGAGUAGAUGUACAUAAGUAAGGUGAUCUGACAAGAACAACCAAAAAGUAGAUUCCCAUAAGGUAAUAUGAAAACUUACCUGGAAGUAUACCACUGACGCAGAGUUAAAUACAGCUUCAUCCAAUGAAAUCCAAAGCAUUUUCGAUGCACUACCACAAGAUGAAAGAAGGGGAUACUUAUGCAAGCAGCGUGGAUCAGUAUAUCCAGAUGAGGAAACAAAUAAGCCAUUGAUAUCAAACUCAAUAGAAGAAUUUCCAAAUACUGGAUCUUUUACAAAAGUCACGUUCAAAGCAGCAACAUUGUCCACAUUGAUUUUCUUUGGAAGACUUUGCAGUAGUGAAUCGAGCUUUGAUGUCCCUUCACUUAUUUUAUUAGUGAUUGUGUUUUCGACUGCAGAUCUAAUCUGGUCCCCCAAAGCAUCUACAAACCUAUAUAUUAAAAAAAAAAAAAAAAACAUGAUAUAUGGUGAGAAAAGAAAAGUGUUAAUGUAUCAAGCGUGGAACGGGGAAUCCAAAAAAAGCGCAUAAAUCAAAACCUUAUUACAGUCUCUAACACUAUCGACCCACAUACCCUUGAUAAAACCAAGAUGCUCCUCCAUUCAAUGUUAUGAUUAAUUCCUCCAUAUAGCAGCCACAUUCCAUCGCAGUCAAUUGCAGAGUUCCAUUUUUAUUCUUCAUGCUCAUGGUAAGCCCGACCUCCAUUCCUUCAACCUUAUCCAGAAGCAGGAUCAUCAAUUACCUUUUAUUGAAAUAUGUAUACAACAUAAGCGCGCAGACAUGAAGAAGGGGAACAAAGAUUUAAAUGCCAAAUAUCAAUGGCUCUUAUAGUGAAGCUCAACAUAGUCAAACUAUGGAAAAGAAUAUUGAGUAAAAGUAAAAAAGCAUGACUACUAUGAUCAUUAAUCAGGCAGUGAGUGUAUAAAAAGGUGCAAUUUUUUUACAGAUGCUACAAAAUCAAAAAUAAGGAGUGCUAAAAUGUUAUCUCUAAAUUUAAUAAUGCUGCAGUAUAAAAUCCCCAAAACAGAUUCACCUGAGAAUUAAGAAAAACUGAUCACUUAAAUUCCAGCAGAAAUAAAACAACUAAAUACUAGAAAUUGGAGAACACAUUGUACUACCUUAAUCGAAGCAGUCCCGUGAUCGGAUAUCUCAAUCGGAAGUAUCCAUGUGCUGUACGAAUACCUCCAAUCCAUGCUCAAAUUAACAGUCGCACCCGACGCGACGAUCGCGAUCCCCGACUCCCCGGGCCUAACCACCGAAGAAGAAACAUCGAUGCCUAACAACGUUAUAUUCGUCGCCGCCAUGCGAACUCCGCCAAUGAACGGAACCCUGAUGGACUCCUCGACAUCGGGGAGUCGAAUCGGGAUGAGGGACUUCACCGCUUGCUCGAUCAACAAAUCCUUGACGAAUUCGAGGCCUUUUUCGGAGAUGAUCGCGGAGAUGAACGCCUCGUUUUCGUUGGAUUGGGAAUGGGGAGUGGACGGAGCGGAGGAGAUGGUUGGGAGAAAGAGGAGAAGGAGGAGGAGAAGGGGCGCCAUGGGGUUUGGGAGGAGGGAGAUGGAUGGGGGAAGGGAUUUUAGCGCUAGGGCUAGGGUUUGUGAUGAGGGUUCGGGAAGAGGAGAGAGAUAGGUGGAGAGGGUGAAGGGAAGAGCAGGAUGGGGUAAAGGAAAACGGCAUGGAUGAUUGCUUGAAAGGCCACGGCUUCACCUUCUUCGAUAACAAUUAUUGAUCGUACGGCUAAAUAAAAAUUUUGCACCGGAGCCAUUGACCUUUCUGUGCUUUCAAAGUUAGGUCCUUUUUUUUUACCGUAUUAAUUGUACUCUACUAAACGGUACUUUAUAAUUAUUUUUAUUCACUAUAUUAUAUAAUUAUUUUUUCAAAAAUAUUAUUCUAUUUUGUCAAUCUCUAGUCUCUACACUAUAUUUUAAAUUUAUUUGUACUUUUCUAUCAUAUACUAUUUUUUAUAAAUACUUUUUUUUUUUUGUCAAUCUCUACAAUACUAUUAACCAAUAAAUAAAUUUUGAUAAAAUCUAAUAAUUUUUUUAAAGAGACACUAAUUAAAUAGUAGGAAAAAUGAAAAUAAAAAUUCAUAAUGAACUCGUUAAAAGGUUCUAUCAAGUAAUUUUUUAUUAUUUUAUAUAUUUUAUUGCUUUCAUGUCAAAAUGAGUUAACUAUAUAUAGGCCUUUUUGCAUAAAAAAUUCACUUAUUUUGGGCUUUUGCAAAACCGGGUCACCUUUUUCGUUUUUGCAGAUUCGGUCCGCUUUUUCAGCAAACUGACCAAAAUACCCUUAUUACUUUUUCUCUUUCCUCUUUCUCUCACCUCUUCUUCUUCACCGUCGCCUCCCUCCUCACCAUCCUUCUUCACCGUCGCCCCCCUCCUCACCCUCCUCUCCACCGCCCGCGACCCCCUCCUCCUCUCCUCCGCCGCCGCGGACCCCCAGCCCGAUCCCGUCGCCGCGGCGGCAGCGGCCGCGGCGAACGGGGUCGGGCUGGAUGCGGAGAAGAAGACAACGGCGAAGAAGAAGAAGGGGAGGCCAAGCGACAGGGCGCAGGAGGGGGAGGCGGAAGCGCAACCGGCGCCGGCACCAGCGCCGCGCGUGUUCUUCUCCGUCGGCGCUGCCCCUCCUCCCGCCGCCGCGCAGAAGCCGCCGACCAGCGCCUCUGCUUCU
rnacentral:lncRNA from 1 species